rnacentral:rRNA from 1 species
CUUGGUCAUUUAGAGGAAGUAAAAGUCGUAACAAGGUUUCCGUAGGUGAACCUGCGGAAGGAUCAUUACCUAGAGUUUGUAGACUUCGGUCUGCUACCUCUUACCCAUGUCUUUUGAGUACCUUCGUUUCCUCGGCGGGUCCGCCCGCCGAUUGGACAACAUUCAAACCCUUUGCAGUUGCAAUCAGCGUCUGAAAAAACAUAAUAGUUACAACUUUCAACAACGGAUCUCUUGGUUCUGGCAUCGAUGAAGAACGCAGCGAAAUGCGAUAAGUAGUGUGAAUUGCAGAAUUCAGUGAAUCAUCGAAUCUUUGAACGCACAUUGCGCCCCUUGGUAUUCCAUGGGGCAUGCCUGUUCGAGCGUCAUUUGUACCUUCAAGCUCUGCUUGGUGUUGGGUGUUUGUCUCGCCUYUGCGUGUAGACUCGCCUUAAAACAAUUGGCAGCCGGCGUAUUGAUUUCGGAGCGCAGUACAUCUCGCGCUUUGCACUCAUAACGACGACGUCCAAAAGUACAUUUUUACACUCUUGACCUCGGAUCAGGUAGGGAUACCCGCUGAACUUAAGCAUAUCAAUAAGCGGAGGA